AGCAGUGGGGAAUUUUGGACAAUGGGCGCAAGCCUGAUCCAGCAAUGCCGCGUGAGUGAAGAAGGCCUUCGGGUUGUAAAGCUCUUUUGUCAGGGAAGAAACGGUGAAGGCUAAUAUCCUUUGCUAAUGACGGUACCUGAAGAAUAAGCACCGGCUAACUACGUGCCAGCAGCCGCGGUAAUACGUAGGGUGCAAGCGUUAAUCGGAAUUACUGGGCGUAAAGCGUGCGCAGGCGGUUUUGUAAGUUUGUCGUGAAAGCCCCGGGCUCAACCUGGGAAUUGCGAUGAAGACUGCAAGGCUUGAAUCUGGCAGAGGGGGGUAGAAUUCCACGUGUAGCAGUGAAAUGCGUAGAGAUGUGGAGGAACACCGAUGGCGAAGGCAGCCUCCUGGGUCAAGAUUGACGCUCAUG
rnacentral:rRNA from 1 species